rnacentral:lncRNA from 1 species
AUUGGUCACUCUCUGGUCACUCAGGGUCACUCAGGGGUCAGUGGUCACUCAGGGGUCACUCAGGGUCACUCAGGGGUCAGUGGUCACUCAGGGGUCACUCAGUGGUCAGGGGUCACUCAGUGGUCUGUGGUCAGUGGUCAGUUGGUCACUCUCUGGUCACUCUCUGGUCACUCAGGGCUCCACGGCCGAGGUUUGGGUUGGGGUCAGUGGUCACUCAGGGGUCAGUGGUCACUCAGGGGUCACUCAGGGGUCACUCAGGGGUCAGUGGUCAGUGGUCACUCAUUGGUCACUCUCUGGUCACUCUCUGGUCACUCUGGUCACUGGUCACUCAUUGGUCACUCAUUGGUCACUCAUUGGUCACUCAGGGGUCACUCAGGGUCACUCAGGGGUCACUCAGGGGUCACUCAGUGGUCAGUGGUCAGUGGUCACUCAUUGGUCACUCAUUGGUCACUCUCUGGUCACUCUCUGGUCACUCUCUGGUCACUCUCUGGUCACUCAGGGGUCACUCUGGUCACUCAUUGGUCACUCAGGGGUCACUCAUUGGUCACUCUGGUCACUCAUUGGUCACUCAGUGGUCACUCUCUGGUCACUCUCUGGUCACUCAGUGGUCACUCAGGGUCACUCAGUGGUCACUCAGUGGUCAUUGGUCACUCUGGUCACUCAGUGGUCACUCAGUGGUCACUCAGUGGUCACUGAGGGGUCACUCAGUGGUCACUCUCUGGUCACUCAGUGAUCACUCUGGUCACUCAUUGGUCACUCAUUGGUCACUCUGGUCACUCUCUGGUCACUCAGGGCUCCACGGCCGAGGUUUGGGUUGGGGUCAGUGGUCACUCAGGGGUCAGUGGUCACUCAGGGGUCACUCAGGGGUCACUCAGGGGUCAGUGGUCAGUGGUCACUCUCUGGUCACUCUCUGGUCACUCAGUGGUCACUCAGGGGUCACUCAGUGGUCAGUGGUCACUCAGGGGUCAGUCAGUGGUCACUCAGUGGUCAGUGGUCACUCAUUGGUCACUCUCUGGUCACUCUCUGGUCACUCAGGGGUCACUCAGGGGUCACUCAGGGUCACUCAGGGGUCACUCAGGGGUCACUCAGGGGUCACUCAGUGGUCAGUUGGUCACUCUCUGGUCACUCAGGGGUCACUCAGUGGUCAGUGGUCACUCAUUGGUCACUCAUUGGUCACUCAUUGGUCACUCUCUGGUCACUCUCUGGUCACUCAGGGGUCACUCAGUGGUCACUCAGAGGUCAGGGGUCACUCAGGGGUCAGUGGUCACUCAGUGGUCAGUGGUCACUCAGUGGUCACUCAUUGGUCACUCUCUGGUCACUCUGGUCACUCAGUGGUCAGUGGUCACUCUCUGGUCACUCAUUGGUCACUCUCUGGUCACUCAGGGGUCACUCGUGGUCACUCAGAGGUCAGGUCGGGUUGGGGUCAGUUGUCAGGGGUCAGUGGUCAGUGGUCACUCAGUGGUCACUCAGUGGUCAUUGGUCACUCUGGUCACUCUCUGGUCACUCAGGGCUCCACGGCCGAGGUUCGGGUUCGCAGCGGCUGCACCUUCGAGGGGAUCUUCCGCACCCUCAGCGCCAAGGUGAGCCCUAAUUAGCGUUAAUUAACACUAAUUAACGCUAAUUAACACUUAAUUAUUCUUUAUUAUGUCUUAUUAACCCUCAUUAAUCUCAAUUAAACUUAUUUAACCCCAAUUAAUCUCUAAUUAAUGCUAAUUAACCGCAUCUUCCGCACCCUCAGUGCCAAGGUGAGCCCUAAUUAACCCUAAUUAACGCUAAUUAACACUUAAUUAUCCUUUAUUAUCUCUUAUUAACCCUCAUUAAUCUCAUUUAAAUUCAUCUCGCCCCAAUUAAUCUCUAAUUAAUGCUAAUUAACCACAUCUUCCGCACCCUCAGCGCCAAGGUGAGCCUUGAUUAGCACUAAUUAACGCUAAUUAACACUUAAUUACCCUUUAUUAUCUAUUAUUAACCCUCAUUAAACUCAAUUAAACUCAUUUAACCCCAAUUAAUCUCUAAUUAAUGCUAAUUAGCCACAUCUUCCGCACCCUCAGUGCCAAGGUGAGCCCUAAUUAACACUAAUUAACACUAAUUAACACUUAAUUACCCUUUAUUAUCUCUUAUUAACUCUCAUUAAUCUCAAUUAAACCUAUUUAACCCCAAUUAAUCUCUAAUUAAUGCUAAUUAACCACAUCUUGUGCACCCUCAGUGCCAAGGUGAGCACUAAUUAACACUAAUUAACGCUAAUUAACACUUAAUUAUCCUUUGUUACCUCUUAUUAACCCUCAUUAACCUCAAUUAAACCUAUUUAACCCCAAUUAAUCUGUAAUUAAUGCUAAUUAACCACAUCUUCCGCACCCUCAGUGCCAAGGUGAGCCUUAAUUAGCACUAAUUAACACUAAUUAACACUUAAUUACCCUUUAUUAUCUCUUAUUAAUCCUUAUUAACCUUAAUUAAACCUAUUUAACCCCAAUUAAUCUCUAAUUAAUGCUAAUUAACCGCAUCUUCCGCACCCUCAGUGCCAAGGUGAGCCCUAAUUAACCCUAAUUAAUGCUAAUUAACACUUAAUUAUCCUUAGUUACCUCUUAUGAACCGUCAUUA